rnacentral:rRNA from 1 species
UCGAGAAUAUUUGUCAAUGCGCGAAAGCGUGAACAAGCAAUGCCGCGUGUAGGAUGAAGGCUUUCGGGUCGUAAACUACUUUUAUUAGGGAAGAAUUAAGAUGACGGUACCUAAUGAAUAAGAGGUUACUAACUCUGUGCCAGCAGUAGCGGUAAUACAGAGACCUCAAGCGUUAUCCGGAUUUAUUGGGCGUAAAGGGUGCGUAGGCGGAUAUAUUAGUCAGAUGUCAAAUCCUUCGACUCAAUCGAAGAACUGCAUUUGAAACGGUAUGUCUAGAGAGUGUGAGAGAUCAGUGGAAUUUAUGGUGUAGUAGUGAAAUGCGUUGAUAUCAUAAAGAACACCAAAGGCGAAGGCAACUGAUUGGCACAUUUCUGACGCUGAGGCACGAAAGCGUGGGUAGCGAAUGGG